ACGGAAGGCAGCAGUAGGGAAUAUUGCACAAUGGGGGAAACCCUGAUGUAGCAACGCCACGUGUGGGAAGAAGCAUUUCGGUGUGUAAACCACUGUCGUGAAGGAAUAAUGCUGGACCUCGGUCCAGUUGAAUGUACUUUGAAAGGAAGCACCGGCAAACUUCGUGCCAGCAGCCGCGGUAAUACGAGGGGUGCAAGCGUUGUUCGGAAUCACUGGGCGUAAAGGGAGCGCAGGCGGAGAUGCAAGCGGACUGUACAAUACCGGGGCCCAACCCCGGACCUGCAGUCCGGACUGCACCUCUUGGAUAGUUCAGGGGCAAGCGGAAUUCCUGGUGUAGCGGUGGAAUGCGUAGAGAUCAGGAAGGACACCGAUGGCGAAGGCAGCUUGCUGGGGACUUAUCGACGCUCAUGCUCGAAAGUGCGGGUAGCAAACAGGAUUAGAUACCCUGGUA
rnacentral:rRNA from 1 species